rnacentral:misc_RNA from 1 species
ACACCCUCAAGCCUGGCUUGGUAUUGGGCCCCCGCCCCUCGGGCGGGGCCUGGAACGCCUGCGGUGGGCGCCGGUUCCCUCUCUCGCACCAGAAGAACCAUCUUCACGCGGGAGGGGGUUCUAGUCGCUGUCCGGAAAGCACCAACC